AAUAUAGUUUGUUAGGUGAGGCUCCUAUACAGAUAUACGCUGCUGCCCGGAAACAUCGAGAGAUGCCAAUGGGUCAACAAAUACUACCGAAUUAAGGUUUUAUUUAAUGCAGCUGAGCUUAUGUUCUACGCUGUAUAGUGCUAAAACUCAACGAAUUUUACUGU
rnacentral:sRNA from 2 species